rnacentral:rRNA from 1 species
GACGAACGCUGGCGGCGUGCUUAACACAUGCAAGUCGAACGAUGAAGCCUUCGGGUGGAUUAGUGGCGAACGGGUGAGUAACACGUGGGUAAUCUGCCCUGCACUCUGGGAUAAGCCUUGGAAACGGGGUCUAAUACCGGAUAUCACACUUCUAGGCAUCUAGUGGUGUUGAAAGUUUUGGCGGUGCAGGAUGAACCCGCGGCCUAUCAGCUUGUUCGGUGGGGUAAUGGCCACCAAGGCGACGACGGGUAGCCGGCCUGAGAGGGUGACCGGCCACACUGGGACUGAGACACGGCCCAGACUCCUACGGGAGGCAGCAGUGGGGAAUAUUGCACAAUGGGCGAAAGCCUGAUGCAGCGACGCCGCGUGAGGGAUGAC